rnacentral:rRNA from 1 species
CAUGAACGCUGGCGGCGUGCCUAAUACAUGCAAGUCGAGCGAACGGACGAGAAGCUUGCCUCUCUGAUGUUAGCGGCGGACGGGUGAGUAACACGUGGAUAACCUACCUAUAAGACUGGGAUAACUUCGGGAAACCGGAGCUAAUACCGGAUAAUAUUUUGAACCGCAUGGUUCAAAAGUAAAAGACGGUCUUGCUGUCACUUAUAGAUGGAUCCGCGCUGCAUUAGCUAGUUGGUAAGGUAACGGCUUACCAAGGCAACGAUGCAUAGCCGACCUGAGAGGGUGAUCAGCCACACUGGAACUGAGACACGGUCCAGACUCCUACGGGAGGCAGCAGUAGGGAAUCUUCCGCAAUGGGCGAAAGCCUGACGGAGCAACGCCGCGUGAGUGAUGAAGGUCUUCGGAUCGUAAAACUCUGUUAUUAGGGAAGAACAUAUGUGUAAGUAACUGUGCACAUCUUGACGGUACCUAAUCAGAAAGCCACGGCUAACUACGUG